ensembl:snRNA U6 U6 spliceosomal RNA
GUGUUUUUUUUUUUCUGGCAACAUAUAUACUAAAAUUGGAACAAUGUAGAGAAAGAUUAGCAUGGCCUCUCUACAAGGCAAGUACAUUUAUGAGUCAGUCUUCACAUUUAU